UCUGCAUGAUAGCGAUGACACGAUUUCUGUAUAUUUGGAGUGGUUUUCUUUGCUAUUUAUGUCACACCAGGUGACCGAGCACAUGGCCGCACACACACAUCCGAACAAUCCAAACAAUCCGCUCGUCCAAUUCCGAGGUUCGGAUAGUGAUCGACACUGCGGCUCUGCGUUUCCUGCUGAGAGUCCGGGUCAUCGCGAACGCUCGGCGCCGUUAAUUAGCGUGUACACUGAUGACCUGCGCUUGAUGAACGAUUAGGCGUGAUUGCUUCAGAUACGAUGGAGUCGAGUUGUUAGAAGUUCAUGAGCAUUAACUCUGCCCUUCACUCAACCCUUAUAAUAUUCUUCAUCUUUUAGCUUUAUUUAUCAGAACUGGAAGUGGUAGUUCAGUGGUUAAAGCUCUGGGUUCCUGGUGAGAAGUUGGAAGGUUCAAGCCCCAGUACAGCCAAACUGACCCAGACACCAUAGCUUUUGCUCAGAUCUCGACAAUGCCUGGUGGACAUAUCUUUAUGGAUGAGUGCUUAUCAACCUAAACUAAACCCCAGCAAAACCGAACUGCUGGUCAUCCCAGGCUGCCCAGGUGCUUGUUCAACUGGCUUGUUCGACUGGACUACUACUGGUCAGGAGUUGUGUGUCAUCAGCAUAGCGGAAACAUGUAUUGGAUGUAAACGUUCCAAAGCAGUGGAUGAGGGUGCAGUUAUAAGGUUUUUGGAGCCUUUCCACAAUCUUCAAAGCAGAGCUUCAAAGUUAUGGAGAUGUGCACGAAGCCCUGUUUACCGCCGCUUCCUCGAGCUUGGCUCGACCAGACCUCCAACUAGCUCCCUCCUUACCCUGAAGAGAUACCAUUUCCACACCUACGCAUCUCCCCACGCUCACGGGUUUCUUUGCGAGCGUUUUUUUCCUCAGAAGGACGGAUAAAAUAUGGCCAAGAAAACGAAUGAGAAGCUGAACAGCUCAGAGUACAAUCCAGACGAAGUCUUCAAAAGUACAGUUGCUGUCCUCACACACUGCAGCUGCACCAGAGGGAUCUCUAACGGCUGCUCUCACAACCUGCAGGGUGCCUUUAGGGACCCCGAGACAGGGGAAGAGGAACGCCAGAAAAGUUCAUCAGAACGUCUUGCGUGUGUGUGUGUGUGUGUGUGUGUGUGUGUGUUAGAGAUCCAGCAGACAGAACUACAAAGACGCUUGUUCACACAGUGGCAAAACAAAGACAAUCAAAUGCACAGAGACUGUCAGAGCGAGACGGGACGCCGGGACCCACGGCUUCGUCAACAGACUUCUCAAAGACAAAUCAGAAAGGUGACACUGAUAUUUUUGGCCGGCAUUUUGUUAUUAAAAAUGGGGUUUGAUGGAAUGAAAGAGGUGAUAAGUGUGUGUUUUUCAUCAUGCACACAUGGAAAUGAAGUUCACUGGAUGGAUUGUUAUUGUUGUUUUUUUUACUUUCAAAGCCUUUGAGAAUUGAUUCUUCUCCAGAGAAGAGAUGUUCCUAAAAAAGACUUAUUAGUCUAUAAUUAAAAGUCUAUCAAUGUAUUUUUAUAAGGCCUUUCGGGUAAUCAUUUGGGAUGAACCCAUUUGUCAACCAUACCUUCUGAGUGUGGUGCCAGCUUUUUGAACAUCUAAUUCCACAUUUGCUGUUUCAGUAACCUCCACUCUUCUGGGAAAAUGUUAGACUAGCCUGGCAUAUUCUGGAGACUUUUGCUCAUUCUGCUACAAGAGCUUUAAUGAAGUGGUAGCUCAGUGGAUA